GACAGUUGAGUCAUAAUGCCUAGAUCAUUGUGAACUCUUUUUCCACCCGGGGGCACGUAUGACCAUUCUGGAAUCAAAGCUUACCUUAGGAAAUCCUGAGGGGCCUUAUGCUGGUCAUACUUGACUGUCUUUUGCAGAUCUUAGAAUUAAUCCAAUUGGAAUUAAAUUAAAUUGCAAUUACCAUUUGAUUUAAUUGCAGUUAAAUUAUAUGUAGGCUAAGUAGCAAAAAUGAGGUAAUGUCAUUCUCAACAGACCUUGGGGAAAAAAGUUGGAAAUGACCUUUUCCACUGUGAAUGAUACAAGCAGCCUCAUUAUUACAGUCUGCUCCGUAGACUUCUGGGAGAUUACUGACUUCUCGGAAAGAAGAAAUUUUGAGGAUAAAGAAACUAUUUUGGAUCAGAAAUGGUGUAUCAAACUGUGUUAUUGAUGAAGAUGUUAAACGGUGAAAAUCCUUCCAAACAGCAAGAAUAGAUGGCCUCUGCUGUGCCUGCAGCUUUCCACUUGAGAGACACAGCUUAACUGGUCCAUAGUUGGCCAAAAGGACAUGCCUGUGGGAUCACAGAAAGUAAGGCUGAAGGAGUUGAGAGAUGCUACAAGUCAUCCUUUCCAUCCACAAAGAAGAACAGCUAAAUCUUGUCCUUUUCCUCACAUUCCUUCAUCUGAAUGUUCCUGGGAACAAGGCAAGAGCAGUCCCUAUUUGCUGAGAGUGUUCCAGAUGAAGAGAUACUCUGGGAUGGAGGGAAGCAUCUCCCCAUGCUUUUCCAGGUUGUUACACUUUACUCUGAGGAAGUAAAUGGAGUUCUGGCACUUACAGCUGAUUUCUGUUCUCUGCUUUAUGAAAGAUUAAAAGAAUGUGAAGAAUUAAAUCAAAUUGCUUAACUCUCUGUAUUUUCUAAGUAGUCUGUCAAGUAACUUUGCAAUCAAAUGCAAUUUCUCUGCUUUCGAGUUCCAACUUUGUGUACCUUUGUGUUCUAACUAGUGUCUGACAAAUCACCUUUCUAAGGUUCAUGUCAUUCUGCCUAGUCAGUGG
rnacentral:lncRNA from 1 species